rnacentral:lncRNA from 1 species
UUCCUUUGUCAAUCUUUGAGCCUGUCCCACAUGUCCUCCUCACUAUGGCUUCCUAAGGAGCCUCCUCUCUGUUCCCACCUCUCAGGGGGCUGACUCCUACUCACACUCUGGUCUCAGCCUCCUUUCUGGCCCCUGGCAUGAGGUUCUUCGUUCCGCCUCGGCCUCCCAAAGUGCUGGGAUUACAGGCAUAAGCCACCGCACCUGUCUUAUUUCUCAGUGAUCUCAAUGCUCCUCAGACUCCCCCUGCAUAACACUUAGCAGCAGAACCAUACGAACUUGAAACUAUUCCAUUAUUUUUGAUCUACAAACACAAAACAUUAUUUACCUCAGUAACAGUUGCCUGGCUAAAGCUGUGAGGGUGGGAGGACCCCGUGAUCUGGACGUUUGCACACAUCAUGCUUCCAGCCCGGGACUGAAGAUACGUGUGGACCACAUCAGGGACUGGCCUGCUAACUAUGAGCUCUCACGCAAUGUCUGUCAGGGGCUGGAGAAUCGGGGAGGCCUCCCCCCAGAAAUCAGGGGAAGCUGCAUCUCCCUCUUCAAUUUCCUUUCCCCUGGCCACCUGGCUCCAAAAUAAAUCUAAUAAACUAACUCACAGCAAGGUGUCAAAGCCCCAGAUGCCUAAAUGAAAGAAGCUGGCAGUCUGAGGCAUCUGCAUUUGAAAAGAGAUUCAAUGAGAACUUAAGAUAAAAGCCAGCCCUAGACCAAAAGAAAGGGAAGAGAGGGCAGGGAGGGCUUCCAGCAGCCCCUGCAAAUCACACCUUUCUAGAAGCCAGGACCACAAGCACCCUUCCCUAUGAACUGCCUCAUUUAGCUUCAUAGCUCUAAUGGGCCAAAACCCCCACGGAGUAGAUGUGGCAACUAAGGUCUGUCAAGUACAAUGGUGAGGAGACGAAAAUAACAAAAGUGAGCUUUGCAGGGGUCAGCGCUGUAACAUAGGAUUUGCUCUGACUGGGGGUUCACUCCCUCACAGAGACACAGACCUUUGUUCUAGGUGGGGCUGCGGGAAGGGGACCUGCAGACAGGUGUGCCAGUGGCACAGGGCCUGGGAGUAUGGAAGGAGGCAGCACUGGGAUCGCGAGGGCCCCCAGCCUUAGGACAAGAGAGGUGUGGGGUCUAGACAACCAACCUAGGGCGCAGGUGCCACAGUGAGCCACUGAGAUGCCUGUAAACCUGGGACAGGAGCUAGGAGGGUAUUCCCAAGAAAGAGAGCUCACAGUCAGCCAGCACAUUCCUAAGAGCUGGAAGGAAGGAUGGUGGGAGCUGUCAGAGCAGAGAGAUGAGCAGGGGAAGGUGGUCAAGGAAAAAGAAAACAGGGAAGGGCUGGGCAUGGUGGCUCACGCCUGUAAUCCCAACAUUUGGGAGGCCAAAGCAGGAGGAUUGAUUGAACCCAGGAGUUUGAGGUUGCAGUGAGCUCUGAUCGCACCACUGCUCUCCAGCCUGGGCAACAGAGCAAGACUCUGUCUCUAAAAAAAAAAAAAAGGACAGGCACAGUGGCUCAGCACUUUGGGAGGCCGAGACGGGCGGAUCACAAGGUCAGGAGAUCGAGACCAUCCUGGCUAAAACGGUGAAACCCUGUCUCUACUAAAAAUACGAAAAAUUAGGCCGGGCGCAGUGGCUCAAGUCUGUAAUCCCAGCGCUGUGGGAGGCCGAGAUGGGCGGAUCACGAGGUCAGGAGAUCGAGACCAUCCUGGCUAACAUGGUGAAACCCCGUCUCUACUAAAAAAAUACAAAAAACUAAGCGGGCUCCUGUAGUCCCAGCUACUCCGGAGGCUGAGGCAGCGUAAACCCGGGAGACGGAGCUUGCAGUGAGCUGAGAUCCGGCCACUGCACUCCACCCCGGGCGACAGAGCGAGACUCCUAUCUCAAAAAAAAAAAAAAAAGAGUUCGAGACCAGCCUGACCAAUAGGAUAAAACCCCGUUUCUACCAAAAAUAUAAAAGUUAGCUGGUCAUGGUGGCGUGCACUUGUAAUCUCAGCUACUCGGGAAGCUGAGGCACGAGAAUCACUUGAAUCCAGGAGGCAGAGGGUGCAGUGAGCCAAGAUGCUGCCACUGCACUCCAGCCUGGGCAACAGUGCAAGACUUUGUUCCAAAAAUAAAUGAAAACAUAAAAAAAAAUAAAGAAAACAGAAGGACACAACACAUAGGAUAACAAAGUUCAAAAAAUUCAUGUGAUAAAGGAGACUGAUGAUUCAUGAAACAAGAGGAAAGCCUUUGAACUUGAAGCCAGUCAAGAACAUCAUUUGCAGGGGGCAGGAAUUGGUACACUGGACCCACAGAUGAGGAAAUCUAAUUUAUACACACUGCCUGGCUCUGUAGAUAGAAAUACUGACAUGUGAACUAUGGUUACAGAACAGAACGUAAUUCUGUCAGCCACACAAUGUAAAAAUGAAGGCAUAUCCUACUUCUGGGUACAUACACAAAAGAAAUGAAAAUUGGGCCGGGCAUGGUGGCUCACACCUGUAAUCCCAGCACUUUGGCGGGGGGGGCGCCGAGGCGGGCGAAUCACGAGGUCAGGAGCUCAAGACCAUCCUGGCCAGCAUGGUGAAACCCAUCUCUACUAAAAUUACAAAAAUUAGCUAGGUGUGGUGGCGAGCGCCUGUAGUCCCAGCUACUCAGGAAGCUGAGGCAGGAGAAUCACUUGAACCCAGGAAGCAGAGGUUGCAGUGAGCCAAGAUCACUGCACUCUAGCCUGGUGAUAGAGUGAGACUCUGUCUCAAAAACAAACCAACAAACAAAAAAUACAAAAAAUUAGCCGGGUGUGCUGGCAUGUGCCUGUAGUCCCAGUUACCCCGGAGGCUGAGGCAGGGAGAACUGCUUGAACCCAGGAGGCCGAGGCUACAAUGGCUGAGAUGCAGUCACUGUACUUGGCGAGACUCCAUCUCAAAAAAAAAAAAAAGAAGAAGAAGAAGAAGAAGAAAAGGCCGGGCCACAGUGGCUCACACCGGUAAUCCCAGCACU